rnacentral:rRNA from 1 species
GGGUUGUGAGGUUAAGCGACUAAGCGUACACGGUGGAUGCCCUGGCAGUCAGAGGCGAUGAAGGGCGUGCUAAUCUGCGAUAAGCGCCGGUAAGGUGAUAUGAACCGUUAUAACCGGCGAUACCCGAAUGGGGAAACCCAGUGUGAUUCGUCACACUAUCAUUACGUGAAUACAUAGCGUAAUGAAGCGAACCGGGGGAACUGAAACAUCUAAGUACCCCGAGGAAAAGAAAUCAACCGAGAUUCCCCCAGUAGCGGCGAGCGAACGGGGAGGAGCCCAGAGCCUGAAUCAGCAUGUGUGUUAGUGGAAGCGUCUGGAAAGGCGCGCGAUACAGGGUGACAGCCCCGUACACAAAAGCGCAUGUGUUGUGAGCUCGAUGAGUAGGGCGGGACACGUGGUAUCCUGUCUGAAUAUGGGGGGACCAUCCUCCAAGGCUAAAUACUCCUGACUGACCGAUAGUGAACCAGUACCGUGAGGGAAAGGCGAAAAGAACCCCGGCGAGGGGAGUGAAAAAGAACCUGAAACCGUGUACGUACAAGCAGUGGGAGCACCCUUUGGGGUGUGACUGCGUACCUUUUGUAUAAUGGGUCAGCGACUUAUAUUCUGUAGCAAGGUUAACCGAAUAGGGGAGCCGGAGGGAAACCGAGUCUUAAUUGGGCGUUAAGUUGCAGGGUAUAGACCCGAAACCCGGUGAUCUAGCCAUGGGCAGGUUGAAGGUUGGGUAACACUAACUGGAGGACCGAACCGACUAAUGUUGAAAAAUUAGCGGAUGACCUGUGGCUGGGGGUGAAAGGCCAAUCAAACCGGGAGAUAGCUGGUUCUCCCCGAAAGCUAUUUAGGUAGCGCCUCGUGAAUUCAUCUCCGGGGGUAGAGCACUGUUUCGGCUAGGGGGCCAUCCCGGCUUACCAACCCGAUGCAAACUGCGAAUACCGGAGAAUGUUAUCACGGGAGACACACGGCGGGUGCUAACGUCCGUCGUGAAGAGGGAAACAACCCAGACCGCCAGCUAAGGUCCCAAAGUCAUGGUUAAGUGGGAAACGAUGUGGGAAGGCCCAGACAGCCAGGAUGUUGGCUUAGAAGCAGCCAUCAUUUAAAGAAAGCGUAAUAGCUCACUGGUCGAGUCGGCCUGCGCGGAAGAUGUAACGGGGCUAAACUAUGCACCGAAGCUGCGGCAGCGACACUAUGUGUUGUUGGGUAGGGGAGCGUUCUGUAAGCCUGUGAAGGUGUGUCGUGAGGCAUGCUGGAGGUAUCAGAAGUGCGAAUGCUGACAUAAGUAACGAUAAAGCGGGUGAAAAGCCCGCUCGCCGGAAGACCAAGGGUUCCUGUCCAACGUUAAUCGGGGCAGGGUGAGUCGACCCCUAAGGCGAGGCCGAAAGGCGUAGUCGAUGGGAAACGGGUUAAUAUUCCCGUACUUGGUGUUACUGCGAAGGGGGGACGGAGAAGGCUAUGUUGGCCGGGCGACGGUUGUCCCGGUUUAAGCGUGUAGGUGUGUGUUCCAGGUAAAUCCGGUUCACUUUAACACUGAGGCGUGACGACGAGGCACUACGGUGCUGAAGCAACAAAUGCCCUGCUUCCAGGAAAAGCCUCUAAGCAUCAGGUAACAUCAAAUCGUACCCCAAACCGACACAGGUGGUCAGGUAGAGAAUACCAAGGCGCUUGAGAGAACUCGGGUGAAGGAACUAGGCAAAAUGGUGCCGUAACUUCGGGAGAAGGCACGCUGACACGUAGGUGAAGUGAUUUACUCAUGGAGCUGAAGUCAGUCGAAGAUACCAGCUGGCUGCAACUGUUUAUUAAAAACACAGCACUGUGCAAACACGAAAGUGGACGUAUACGGUGUGACGCCUGCCCGGUGCCGGAAGGUUAAUUGAUGGGGUCAGCGCAAGCGAAGCUCCUGAUCGAAGCCCCGGUAAACGGCGGCCGUAACUAUAACGGUCCUAAGGUAGCGAAAUUCCUUGUCGGGUAAGUUCCGACCUGCACGAAUGGCGUAAUGAUGGCCAGGCUGUCUCCACCCGAGACUCAGUGAAAUUGAACUCGCUGUGAAGAUGCAGUGUACCCGCGGCAAGACGGAAAGACCCCGUGAACCUUUACUAUAGCUUGACACUGAACAUUGAGCCUUGAUGUGUAGGAUAGGUGGGAGGCUUUGAAGUGUGGACGCCAGUCUGCAUGGAGCCGACCUUGAAAUACCACCCUUUAAUGUUUGAUGUUCUAACGUGGACCCGUGAUCCGGGUUGCGGACAGUGUCUGGUGGGUAGUUUGACUGGGGCGGUCUCCUCCUAAAGAGUAACGGAGGAGCACGAAGGUUGGCUAAUCCUGGUCGGACAUCAGGAGGUUAGUGCAAUGGCAUAAGCCAGCUUGACUGCGAGCGUGACGGCGCGAGCAGGUGCGAAAGCAGGUCAUAGUGAUCCGGUGGUUCUGAAUGGAAGGGCCAUCGCUCAACGGAUAAAAGGUACUCCGGGGAUAACAGGCUGAUACCGCCCAAGAGUUCAUAUCGACGGCGGUGUUUGGCACCUCGAUGUCGGCUCAUCACAUCCUGGGGCUGAAGUAGGUCCCAAGGGUAUGGCUGUUCGCCAUUUAAAGUGGUACGCGAGCUGGGUUUAGAACGUCGUGAGACAGUUCGGUCCCUAUCUGCCGUGGGCGCUGGAGAACUGAGGGGGGCUGCUCCUAGUACGAGAGGACCGGAGUGGACGCAUCACUGGUGUUCGGGUUGUCAUGCCAAUGGCACUGCCCGGUAGCUAAAUGCGGAAGAGAUAAGUGCUGAAAGCAUCUAAGCACGAAACUUGCCCCGAG